rnacentral:rRNA from 1 species
GAACGCUGGCGGCGCGCCUAACACCUGCAAGUCGAACGAGCGAGAGAGAGCUUGCUUUCUCGAGCGAGUGGCGAACGGGUGAGUAACGCGUGAGGAACCUGCCUCAAAGAGGGGGACAACAGUUGGAAACGACUGCUAAUACCGCAUAAGCCCACGACCCGGCAUCGGGUAGAGGGAAAAGGAGCAAUCCGCUUUGAGAUGGCCUCGCGUCCGAUUAGCUAGUUGGUGAGGUAACGGCCCACCAAGGCGACGAUCGGUAGCCGGACUGAGAGGUUGAACGGCCACAUUGGGACUGAGACACGGCCCAGACUCCUACGGGAGGCAGCAGUGGGGAAUAUUGCACAACGGGGGAAACCCUGAUGCAGCGACGCCGCGUGGAGGAAGAAGGUCUUCGGAUUGUAAACUCCUGUUGUUGAGGAAGAUAAUGACGGUACUCAACAAGGAAGUGACGGCUAACUACGUG